GUAAGUCUCGCACAGAUGCAUAUCAAUAAGCGGAGGAAAAGAAACUAACAAGGAUUCCCUCAGUAACGGCGAGUGAAGCGGGAAGAGCUCAAAUUUGAAAUCUUGAAAGGUCACCUUUCACGAAUUGUAGUUUAAAGAAGUGUUUUCUGUUACGAUCGUAAUAUAAGUUCUUUGGAAUAGGACAUCACAGAGGGUGAGUAUCCCGUCUAUGAUUGCGAUUUGUAGCUUUGUGAUACACUUUCAAAGAGUCGGGUUGUUUGGGAAUGCAGCCCAAAACGGGAGGUAAAUUUCUUCUAAGGCUAAAUAUUGGCGAGAGACCGAUAGCGAACAAGUACCGUGAGGGAAAGAUGAAAAGAACUUUGAAAAGAGAGUUAAACUAGUACGUGAAAUUGUCAAAAGGGAAGCGUUUGACACCAGUGUUGUUUUCUCGAAAAUCAAUUAAAAAGAGUUAGAUUUUGUUGUGUAUUGACCUUAACAGCUUGCAUUUCAAUUUUCUUGCUUUUUUUAAUGCACUUUUCGUUUAACAAGUCAACAUCAGUUUCUUUUGUUGUAAAAAGGUCAUUGGAAGGCGGCUUUCUUUUCGGAGAAAGUGUUUAUAGCCUUUGACUCCUGCAAUCGGAGAGACUGAGGUCUGCAGCGUAGAUCCUUCGGGGUUAGAUACAUUUGUGCUAAGUUAUAGCUUUUUAUAGACAACUUGUUGACUAUGAUUAGUCUUGUAGCUUACUCGCUUAUGCUAUUUUACCUACGCUUAGGAUGUUGAAGAUGUAGCACAUCAU
rnacentral:rRNA from 1 species